rnacentral:rRNA from 1 species
GACGAACCGUGCGAACGUUAUUCGGAAUCACUGGGCUUAAAGCGCGUGUAGGCGGGCGGGCACGUCCGUUGCUGAAAUCCCCCGGCUCAACCGGGGAACGGGCGCGGAUACGACUCUCCUCGAGGGGCGUAGGGGGACCUGGAACUUCCGGUGGAGCGGUGAAAUGCGUUGAGAUCGGAAGGAACGCCCGUGGCGAAAGCGAGGUCCUGGACGCCUACUGACGCUGAGACGCGAAAGCCAGGGGAGCGAACGGG